CGAACGUUGGCGGCGUGGAUUAGACAUGCAAGUCGCACGAGAAAGUUUUCUUCGGAGAACGAGUAGAGUGGCGAACGGGUGAGUAAUGCAUGGAUAACUUGCCCCUGAGAUGGGAAUAACGUUUCGAAAGGAACGCUAAUACCCAAUACUGUCGGAGCUCUUCGGUGUUCCGAUGAAAGGAGGCCUCUGACUCAAGCUUCCGCUCAGGGAGAGGUUCAUGUCCUAUUAGCUUGUUGGUGAGGUAACGGCUCACCAAGGCUGCGAUGGGUAGCCGACCUGAGAGGGUGACCGGCCACAUUGGGACUGAGACACUGCCCAAACUCCUACGGGAGGCUGCAGUCGAGAAUCUUCCGCAAUGCGCGCAAGCGUGACGGAGCGACGCCGCGUGGGUGAUGAAGGCCUUCGGGUUGUAAAGCCCUGUCAGUUGCUAGGAAUUGGAGGCGGUGAAUAAUCGUCCUUCUUGACCAGGCUUCAGAGGAAGCACCGGCUAAAUACGUGCCAGCAGCCGCGGUAAU
rnacentral:rRNA from 1 species